rnacentral:rRNA from 1 species
AGGCGUCGACGGGUAGCCGGCCUGAGAGGGUGACCGGCCACACUGGGACUGAGACACGGCYUAGACUCCUACGGGAGGCAGCAGUGGGGAAUAUUGCACAAUGGGCGAAARCCUGAUGCAGCAACGCCGCGUGAGGGAUGACGGCCUUCGGGUUGUAAACCUCUUUUAGCAGGGAAGAAGCGAGAGUGACGGUACCUGCAGAAAAAGCGCCGGCUAACUACGUGCCAGCAGCCGCGGUAAUACGUAGGGCGCAAGCGUUAUCCGGAAUUAUUGGGCGUAAAGAGCUCGUAGGCGGUUUGUCGCGUCUGCUGUGAAAACUGGAGGCUCAACCUCCAGCCUGCAGUGGGUACGGGCAGACUAGAGUGCGGUAGGGGAGAUUGGAAUUCCUGGUGUAGCGGUGGAAUGCGCAGAUAUCAGGAGGAACACCGAUGGCGAAGGCAGAUCUCUGGGCCGUAACUGACGCUGAGGAGCGAAAGGGUGGGGAGCGAACAGGCUUAGAUACCCUGGUAGUCCACCCCGUAAACGUUGGGAACUAGUUGUGGGGGCCUUUCCACGGUCUCCGUGACGCAGCUAACGCAUUAAGUUCCCCGCCUGGGARAGUACG